AGACAUACAGACAACAGAUGACACACUAAAUCUAAUCAUUCAUUUUAGACCUCAAGCUUCAGAUUACAAAAUUAUCUCCAGUCCAUGGAUAAGGAGCACAUCUUUUUCCUGUACCUUCCAAUAUUCAUAGCUCUGUAUGUGCUUACUCAACAUGCACUUCACAAGUUCCAAAACUUUCCACCAACCCCUUUUCCCAGUCUCCCUUUAAUCGGUCACCUGUACCUUCUGAAGAAACCUCUCAAACAAACACUAUCAAAACUUUCACACAAAUAUGGUCCGGUAUUCUUCCUUUGGUUUGGCUCCCGCCGUGUCCUCAUCAUUUCUUCAGCGUCAGCUGCCGAAGAAUGUUUUACCAAAAAUGACAUCAUCUUCGCCAACCGCCCCCAUCUCCUCGUCGGAAAAUACCUCGGCUACAACAACACCAGCAUUGUUUGGGGGUCCUACGGUGAUCACUGGCGAAACCUCCGUCGUAUUUCCUCCAUAGAAGUUUUUUCAUCUCAUCGCUUACAGAAGCUAUCUUAUAUUCGUGUUGAUGAGGUUAAAACACUUGUCCACCAUUUUUAUCGAGCUUAUGUUGAGAAAAGUCAUCAGCCAUUGCUAAUAAAGCCAUUGUUCUAUGACCUUAUGUUCAAUGUCAUGACUAGGAUGAUUGCUAGAAAGAGGUAUUAUGGUGAGAAUACAUCGCAGUCAGCGGAGGCGAUGAGGUUUCAGGAGAUAGUGACUGAGACGGCUAAGUUGACCGGAGAGUCGAAUUUGGUAGAUUUUAUGCCAAUUUUAAAGCGGUUCAUGUUUAGUGGAAUUGUUAAGAGGUACGUGGCCGUAAAUAAGAAGAGAGAUGAGCUUGUGCAAAAGUGGAUAGAUGAAUUUCGCGAGAUGGGAUCCAAUGAGUCUGCAGGAAGGAGGGAGAAAUCUAUGAUUGAGAUCCUAUUGUCUCUGCACGAAGCAGAACCUGAAUACUAUACAGAUGAAGAUAUUAAAAGCCUCAUGCUGGUAAGGAGUGUGUAUGUUUUUUUAUACAAUGAAUACACCUGUACCCCUUUCACUUCCAAAUCAUUUUUAAAUCCCGAACAAAUUUUGUGUCAAACAAAGUUCUAAUCGAAUCAAAUCCACAUCCAAACAACCUCCCCACGACCUCUUUAGAGAGUUAAAUCCAAGUCUGGAACAAAUUAAAUCCAUCUAAACAAGGCAUAACAACUAGUCUAAUAGUAUCUUUUUAGGUUCUUAACUCAUCAUAUACGGUAAUGAAUAAAGAUAUAUAUUAUUGUUAGUAACUUAAUUCUUUUUCUCAUAUUUUUUAUGUGAAAAUGGGGUGUUAUAAUAUAAAUCUGAAAAUUGAACAGAAAAUUAUAUUUUCAUAUGAAAAUCGCGGCGACACUUUUUAUGUGAAAAUAUUAAAAAGUAUUGUGAAAAUAUCAAUUUCUCAUAAAUCUUUGUUGAACAAACCUGCUUCCACCGUGAAUGAUGCAGUUGUAGCACAAUAACAAGAUUUCCCAUCUUUAAUUUUUUUUCUUAUAAUUGUCCCCUAAUUCUUAGACAACAAUACGUUAUCUAUAUUUAAGAAGAGCUUAUUGAUUUGUCAUCACUAUAUAGAGUUAUGCAAUAUCAUGCAACAAUCUUGGAAUUAGAAUCCUUUUCAUUUCAAAUGAAAUGAAAAGUCUCUAUUUUAUGAUCUAAAUUUAAUUUAAAAUGUGUUUGGUACUAGAUAAUGAAACGCAAUGUAAUUUAAGUGCAAAUAUAUGGAUUAUUUGUGAAUUUAUCUACUCAUAACAAAAGUCGCAACUUUUUGUUACAAUAUAUAUAUAUACUAUCCGGAUUUUAAAUUCACCCCUUAUCUAGCUCACCUUGCAUACUCCCUUUUAGCGACGGAACAGACGAUGAUUUGGUCCGUCAUUAUAUAUAGAAUCGUCGUCUUAACUUUUAGCGACGGAUAAUAUAAAGUGACGGACCGAAUCAUCGUCCGAUCCGUCGCUAAAGGAGAAUAUGCAAGAUGAGCUAAAUAAGGGGUGAGUUUAAGAUUCGAACCGUAUAUAUAUAUAUAUAUAUAUAUAUAUAUAUAUAUAUAUAUAUAUAUAUUACAAGAUGUAUUUUGUCAGUAUAUAUAUCUUUGUAUUCUGCUUUUUCUUCUCCCUUAUCCUCUGGCCCAUAGCCUGCCACUUUUGACCUUUAGAACCGUCGUUAUAUAUAGAACCGUUAGACAACAUAUAGCGACGGAUCAAAUCGUCGUCCGAUCCGUCGUUAAAAAGGAAUAUGCAAGAUGAACUAGAUAAAAGGUGAGUUUAAAAUUCAAACCGUGUGUAUGUAUAUAUAUAUAUAUAUAUAUAUCUUUUACAAGAUGUAUUUUGUCGGUGUAUAUAUCUUUCUGUCCUGCUUUUUCUUCUUCCCUUUUCCUCUGGCCCAUAGCCUGCCACUUUUGACCUUUAGCUCCUUAUAUAGCUUAAUUUACAAGGAUUGAUGGUAUGCAUAAUAUGCACACUUUUCACACUAAGAAUUCUGCUGGAUAACUUUAGUGGUGUUAUUAAUUCUAAAUUCUUAUAAAUACGUAAGCAGUUUGAGGCCAAACCAUAAUAAGUAAUUAAAAUGAUGAGUGUACUAUUUGUAUUGUAUGCAGUCAAUACUACAGGGAGGAGUGAGUACAUCAGUUGACACAAUGGAGUGGGCAAUGUCACUUUUGCUCAACAGCCCACAAGUGUUGAACAAGGCCCAAAAUGAAAUCGACGGUCGUGUUGGACAAUCCCGUCUAAUCAACGAAACAGAUGUGGCCGAGCUUCCUUAUUUACGUUGCAUUAUCAAUGAGACGCUUCGGAUGCACCCAGUAGCCCCAUUCCUCGUCCCCCACGAGUCAUCCGAAGAAUGCACUAUUGCCGGUUUUCGCAUUCCCCGAGAAACUAUGCUGCUAGUGAACUUGAAUGACAUACAAAAUGACCCAAAAAUUUGGGCAGAUCCUGAAGCAUUUAGGCCUGAGAGGUUUGAAGGAGCUAAAGCUGGGUUUACGUGGAUGCCUUUCGGGUCUGGUAGGAGAGGGUGUCCUGGUGAGGGAUUGGCAAUACGGAUAGUUGGGUUGACAUUAGGAUCAUUGAUUCAGUGCUUUGAUUGGGCUCGUGUUGGCAAGGACAUGGUGGACAUGACCGAAAGGAGUGGCCUCACUGCGCCCAAGGCUCAGCCCUUGAUGGCUGUGUGCCGGCCUCGUGCAUCCAUGCUCAACUUUCUUUCUCAAAUUACACAAGUUUAAUGUAUCCUGUCCAAAUUUGUUAUUGCCGAAACCAAACACCCAAACGAAAAAAAAUAAUAAACGACCCAAAAGUAUUUCACUUUCUGUUAGAUUGACGCAAGCAAUCAAUAAUCACCUCCGUUAAAAAAGAAAAAAGGAAAAAAAUAAUAAAGAAAAUAGGUCACACUUGUUAUUUUGUUUAAUUGUAUAAAUUUAUUAAUAAAAUGAUACAAUCUACUUAAGGUUAUCAUUAUUCUUUUUGUUAUUAUAAUGUACUUGUAUUAAAUCAAUAAUUUAUUAAUCCCUCUUUCCCUAAAACUAAAAGGACUGUUGAAGUGAUAAAAAUAUUUGUCUUAAAAAACAUAUCAUGUCAACUAGAUAAAAUUUUACAUUUAUUAAUUUUUUUCCUUGACCAUAUUACAUCUUAUAUAAGCCAUAAAUCAAUUACAUUCCAAAAUAAAUGUCUCAAAUUAAUUAACGAGUAUUACCACUACACCAAAGCUUAUAUCAUGAUUAUAAUUUUAAAACAAACUAUAAAAGGAAACAUAUGUGAGUUGACUUACUAAACAAAAUUACUUCCACAUAAGAUUUGGUGAUUGCAAUGGCAGUUACAAAUACUCUAUAAUAAUGAUAAAAUUAGUCAUCACUAAGAGUCAUUAUAUAUUUUAUUGUUUUGUGAUAGCUUGAAAAUUACAUCACAAAAUAUAUUUUUUUUGUAAUUGCAAAUAAAAGUUGUCACAAAGCUUAAUUAAUUAUUGCAACAUUUUUAAUGGAUUUCAAAGAAAGUGGGCGAGAGGGGAGGGGGUAUAUUGUUUCGCUAGUGUUUACUUUUUAAAUUUGCCAAAGUUUCUUCUUUAUCAUCUUUUUCGUUUACUCUGGAUCUUAGAAUUCUACUUCUUAUUCAGGAUUGAAGUCUUAAAAUCAAUAUAUACUUGGCAAAUUCAUCUACAAUCCAUGGAUAUGGAGCACAUCUUUUUCCUGUACCUUCCAACAUUCAUAGCCCUGUAUGUGUUAACUCAGCAUGUCGUUGACAAGCUCCAAAACUUUCCACCCACCCCUUUUCCCAGUUUACCUUUAAUCGGUCACCUUUACCUUCUAAAGAAACCUCUCCAACAAACACUAUCAAAACUUUCAGAAAAAUAUGGUCCUGUAUUCUUCCUCCGGUUAGGCUCCCGCCCUGUUCUCCUCGUUUCCUCCGCAUCAGCUGCCGAAGAAUGUUUUACCAAAAAUGAUAUCAUCUUCGCCAACCGCCCCCAUCUCCUCAUCGGAAAACACCUCGGCUACAACAACACCAGCAUAGUUUGGGGGCCCUAUGGUGAUCACUGGCGGAACCUUCGUCGUAUUUCCUCUGUAGAAGUUCUGUCAUCUUAUCGCUUACAGAAGCUAUCUCAGAUUCGUGUUGAUGAGGUUAAAGCACUUGUCC
rnacentral:lncRNA from 1 species